AUCGAACGCUGGCGGCAGGCCUAACACAUGCAAGUAGAGCGGAGAGGCGGACGGGUGAGUAAUGCCUAGGAAUCUGCAUGGUAGUAGGAGAUAACGUCCGGAAACGGGCGCUAAUACCGCAUACUAUCACAUGAGCCUAGGUCGGAUUAGCUAGUUGGUGGGGUAAAGGCAUACCAAGGCGACGAUGCGGAACUGGUCUGAGAGGAUGAUCAGUCACACUGGAACGAAGACACGGUCCAGUCUACUACGGGAGGAAGCGGUGGGGAAUAUUGGACAUUGGGCGAAAUCCUGAUCCAGCCAUGCCGCGUGGGUGAAGAAGGUCUUCGGAUUGUAAAGCAUUUUAAGUUGGGAGGCGGUACCAACAGAAUAAGCACCGGCUAACUUCGUGCCAGCAGCCGCGGUAAUUC
rnacentral:rRNA from 1 species